CACGUAGGCACCAAGCGUUGUCCGGAUUUAUUGGGCGUAAAGAGCUCGUAGGCGGUCUGUCGCGUCGGAUGUGAAAACCCAGGGCUCAACCCUGGGCCUGCAUUCGAUACGGGCAGACUAGAGUUCGGUAGGGGAGACUGGAAUUCCUGGUGUAGCGGUGAAAUGCGCAGAUAUCAGGAGGAACACCGGUGGCGAAGGCGGGCUACUGGGCCGAUACUGACGCUGAUGCGCGAAAGCCAGGGGAGCGAACGGG
rnacentral:rRNA from 1 species